CCUACGGGUGGCUGCAGUAAGGAAUAUUGGGCAAUGGACGCAAGUCUGACCCAGCCAUGCCGCGUGGAGGAUGAAGGUCCUCUGGAUUGUAAACUUCUUUUAUUUGGGAAGAAAUUCUCGCAUUCCUGCGGGAUUGACGGUACCAGAUGAAUAAGCACCGGCUAACUCCGUGCCAGCAGCCGCGGUAAUACGGAGGGUGCAAGCGUUAUCCGGAUUCAAUGGGUCUAAAGGGUGCGUAGGCGGACAAUUAGAAAUCUCCGGGCUUAACCCGGAAACUGCCAUUGAUACUAUUUGUCUUGAAUACCCUGGAGGUGAGCGGAAUAUGUCAUGUAGCGGUGAAAUGCUUAGAUAUGACAUAGAACACCCAUUGCGAAGGCAGCUCACUACGGGAAUAUUGACGCUGAGGCACGAAAGCGUGGGGAUCAAACAGGAUUAGAUACCCUGGUAGUC
rnacentral:rRNA from 1 species